CCUACGGGUGGCAGCAGUGAGGAAUAUUGGUCAAUGGGCGCGAGCCUGAACCAGCGAAGUAGCGUGAGGGAUGACUGACCUACGGGUUGUAAACUUCUUUUAUAAGCGAGAAAUAUGAUGGUAACUUAUGAAUAAGGAUCGCCUAACUACGUGCAAGCAGCCGCGGUCAUACGUAGGAUCCGAGCAUUAUCCGGGGUGACGGGGUGUAAAGAGUGGCGUAGGUGGGAGAAUAAGUAGCUAGUGAAAGCUGGUGGCUCAACCAUUCAGACUAUUAGCUAAACUGUUAAGCUCGAGACCGUUAGGGGUAACUGGAAUUUCUAGGGUAGGAGUGAAAUCCGGAGAUAUUAGAAGGAACACCAAGAGCGUAGGCAGGUUACUGGGACGGUUCUGACACUAAGGCACGAAAGCGGAGGGAGCAAACGAGAUUAGGUACCCCAGGAGUC
rnacentral:rRNA from 1 species